UACGUAGGGUGCAAGCGUUGUCCGGAAUUAUUGGGCGUAAAGAGCUUGUAGGCGGUUUGUCGCGUCUGCUGUGAAAACUCGAGGCUCAACCUCGAGACGCCGGUGGAAACCAUCAGACUAGAGUCCGGAAGAGGAGAGUGGAAUUCCUGGUGUAGCGGUGAAAUGCGCAGAUAUCAGGAAGAACACCCGUGGCUAAGGCGGCUCUCUAGUACGGUACUGACGCUGAGACGCGAAAGCGUGGGGAGCGAACAGG
rnacentral:rRNA from 1 species